rnacentral:rRNA from 1 species
GACAGAGGUCUCGAGCGUUAGGCGGAAUCACUGGGCUUAAAGCGUGUGUAGGCGGAUGCCUAAGUGCCUUGUGAAAUCCCACGGCUCAACCGUGGAACUGCUGGGCAUACUGGGCGUCUUGAGCCACUUAGGGGCGACCGGAACAAACGGUGGAGCGGUGAAAUGCGUAGAUAUCGUUUGGAACGCCGAUGGUGAAAACAGGUCGCUGGGAGUGUGCUGACGCUGAGACACGAAAGCCAGGGGAGCAAACGGG